rnacentral:rRNA from 1 species
AGAGUUUGAUCAUGGCUCAGGAUGAACGCUAGCGGCAGGCUUAAUACAUGCAAGUCGAGGGGCAGCGGGGGUAGCAAUACCUGCCGGCGACCGGCAAACGGGUGCGGAACACGUACACAACCUUCCUUUAAGUGGGGGAUAGCCCAGAGAAAUUUGGAUUAAUACCCCGUAAGAUUAUUGAAUGGCAUCAUUUAGUAAUUAAAGCUCCGGCGCUUGGAGAUGGGUGUGCGUCUGAUUAGGUAGUUGGUGAGGGUAACGGCCCACCAAGCCUUCGAUCAGUAACUGGUGUGAGAGCACGACCAGUCACACGGGCACUGAGACACGGGCCCGACUCCUACGGGAGGCAGCAGUAAGGAAUAUUGGUCAAUGGACGCAAGUCUGAACCAGCCAUGCCGCGUGGAGGAUGAAGGUCCUCUGGAUUGUAAACUUCUUUUAUUUGGGAAGAAAGGCAUUUUUUCUAAAGUGUUUGACGGUACCAGAUGAAUAAGCACCGGCUAACUCCGUGCCAGCAGCCGCGGUAAUACGGAGGGUGCAAGCGUUAUCCGGAUUCACUGGGUUUAAAGGGUGCGUAGGUGGGCAGUUAAGUCAGUGGUGAAAUCUCCGGGCUUAACCCGGAAACUGCCAUUGAUACUAUCUGUCUUGAAUAUCGUGGAGGUAAGCGGAAUAUGUCUGUAGCGGUGAAAUGCUUAGAUAUGACAUAGAACACCAAUUGCGAAGGCAGCUUACUACCCGAAUAUUGACACUGAGGCACGAAAGCGUGGGGAUCAAACAGGAUUAGAUACCCUAGUAGUCC